UCUCUCUCUCUCUCUAAAUCUCUCUCUCCGUUUUCGCGGUGCGCCACAAGCGGCUGAAGCUGCCAGCAUGAUCUGAUCUCUCUCUCUCUCUCUCUCUCUCUCUCUCUCUCUCUCUCUCUCCCCCCUCUUAGGGUUAAUAUCAGAUCAUGUUGCAGUUUCAUCUGCUGAUGGAAGCACAAGAAAAACCCUAAUUACUUUAACAAUAUGGUGUAGUUUGCAAGAAGCCCUAGAGAAAGAAACUGGCCAAAAGCGUCACUAUGGAUCCGUGACUAAUUCUGAUUAUCUUCUUGCUCUUAGUUAUAAUUAUUAUCAUGUUGAGGUGAUGAAAGGAAGAGGGGAAGAGAUCAAGAGUGGCUUAUUAGAUUCUGGACUGAAAAGGACAAGGCAUCCUUCAGUGUAAGUUAUUAUUUAUUACCGUAGAUCUCGCAUUAUUUUUGUUGAAUAUAACAAUAAAUAAAUAAAAUACUGUUCUCUGGUAGCUAAAGUUUCUGUAGCAAUUGGUUGUUUCACGAAUUUCACUAGAAAAAUAAAAUUAAACUUUGAUAUUAA